GACGAACGCUGGCGGCGUGCUUAACACAUGCAAGUCGAACGGAAAGUCCCGGCUUUUGUGGGGUGCUCGAGUGGCGAACGGGUGAGUAACACGUGAGUAACCUGCCCUUGACUUUGGGAUAACUUCAGGAAACUGGGGCUAAUACCGGAUAGGAGCUCCUGCUGCAUGGUGGGGGUUGGAAAGUUUCGGCGGUUGGGGAUGGACUCGCGGCUUAUCAGCCUGUUGGUGGGGUAGUGGCUUACCAAGGCUUUGACGGGUAGCCGGCCGGAGAGGGUGACCGGCCACAAUGGUGCUGAGAUGCGGCCCAGAAUCCUACGGGAGGCAGCAGUGGGGAAGAUUGCACAGUGGGCGGAAGCCUGAUGCAGCAACGCCGCGUGCGGGAUGACGGCCGUCGGGUUGUAAACCGCUUUCGCCUGUGACGAAGCGGGAGUGACGGUAAUGGGUAAAGAAGCACCGGCUAACUACGUG
rnacentral:rRNA from 1 species